AUUCUCCACAGAAUCCUGAAAGGAUUCUCCACAGAAUCCUGAAAGGAUUCUCCACAGAAUCCUGAAAGGAUUCUCCACAGAAUCCUGAAAGGAUUCUCCACAGAAUCCUGAAAGGAUUCUCCACAGAAUCCUGAAAGGAUUCUCCACAGAAUCCUGAAAGGAUUCUCCACAGAAUCCUGAAAGGAUUCUCCACAGAAUCCUGAAAGGAUUCUCCACAGAAUCCUGAAAGGAUUCUCCACAGAAUCCUGAAAGGAUUCUCCACAGAAUCCUGAAAGGAUUCUCCACAGAAUCCUGAAAGGAUUCUCCACAGAAUCCUGAAAGGAUUCUCCACAGAAUCCUGAAAGGAUUCUCCACAGAAUCCUGAAAGGAUUCUCCACAGAAUCCUGAAAGGAUUCUCCACAGAAUCCUGAAAGGAUUCUCCACAGAAUCCUGAAAGGAUUCUCCACAGAAUCCUGAAAGGAUUCUCCACAGAAUCCUGAAAGGAUUCUCCACAGAAUCCUGAAAGGAUUCUCCACAGAAUCCUGAAAGGAUUCUCCACAGAAUCCUGAAAGGAUUCUCCACAGAAUCCUGAAAGGAUUCUCCACAGAAUCCUGACAGGAUUCUCCACAGAAUCCUGACAGGAUUCUCCACAGAAUCCUUAAGGGAUGCUCCACAGAAUCCUGAAAGAAUUCUCCACAGAAACCUGAAAGGAUUCUCCACAGAAUCCUGAGAGAAUUCUCUACCGAAUCUUGGGAGGAUUCUCCACAGAAUCUUGGGAGGAUUCUUCACAGAAUCCUGAGAGGAUCUCUAAAGAAGGUAGAACUGGAUAUACUUUUAAUCAUUACACAUUAAAAGUGAUGCUUUUUAGGCGGUUUUUGAUAACAUUUUCAUACGAUCUCUGUUGUAGAAUGGUAAACAAACGAAGCAGGGUUGCUCAUAACACCACGCGGACACGGCUAUAAGACUCAUCUGAAUUGGUAACAAAGGUUGAAGAGAAAGGAUCACAAUAGCAUGAAACACGUACGGCACGGCAGAGUUGAAUGGAAAUAAGAUUUCACUCUUAAAGAUACCUGCCAUGCCAAAAUUGCUAUGUUAGGUACAAUACCCUUCACUAUAUCAAUUGCUGAGUGUUUUCUAUCCAGAGUCGAUACAGGUAAGCAGCCGGUGCUUUAGGAACUACAUUACAAACAUAUCGCUAGUUAUUUAUUGCAAUGUGCUUACCGCCAUAUCCACAUAUACAUAACAAAAAAACGCAUCGCAGUUGAACGAACAUUUAUAAUAGAGUCAACAUUUGUAUACCUGGAUUCAACUGAGGCGAUUCGUGUACUGCUAUUGAUCAAUACCCCAAAUAGAGGAAACCAAAGUGCGCAAACAGUAAAAAGGAAAGUGUCACCACCCGAGUACAAUUCUGCGAUGAGCAUCGAAGUUUUCCCAAUCCACGAUCUUCCGGAAGAAGUGCUGGAGCACAUACUAUCGUUUCUUCCACUGUCGGAUCGCAGAUCAGCUUCACUAGUAUGCAAAAAUUGGGGAAGGUUGGCGUUCUGUCGUCGAUUCUUGCACCAAGUGGCGCUCAAAA